rnacentral:rRNA from 1 species
UACGGAGGGCGCAAGCGUUUUUCGGAAUCACUGGGCGUAAAGCGCGUGUAGGCGGCUUGGCAAGUCGGGUGUGAAAUCCCGAGGCUCAACCUCGGAACUGCACUCGAAACUGCUUGGCUCGAGUCCCGGAGAGGGUGGCGGAAUUCCCGGUGUAGGGGUGAAAUCCGUAGAUAUCGGGAGGAACACCAGUGGCGAAGGCGGCCACCUGGACGGUGACUGACGCUGAGUCGCGAAAGCGUGGGGAGCAAACAGG